AGAACCUGCCGUAUACUGGGGGAUAACACUUAGAAAUAGGUGCUAAUACCGCAUAAGCGCACAGCUUCGCAUGAAGCGGUGUGAAAAACUCUGGUGGUAUACGAUGGUUCCGCGUCUGAUUAGCUAGUUGGUGGGGUAAUGGCCUACCAAGGCAACGAUCAGUAGCCGGCCUGAGAGGGUGAACGGCCACAUUGGGACUGAGACACGGCCCAAACUCCUACGGGAGGCAGCAG
rnacentral:rRNA from 1 species